rnacentral:rRNA from 1 species
AUUGAACGCUGGCGGCAGGCCUAACACAUGCAAGUCGAGCGGAGCGGCGGACGGGUGAGUAAUGCCUAGGAAUGUGCAUGUUCGUGGGGGAGAACGUCCGGAAACGGGCGCUAAUACCGCAUACUAUCAGAUUCGCCUAUGUCGGAUUAGCUAGUUGGUGGGGUAAAGGCCGACCAAGGCGACGAUCCGGAACUGGUCUGAGUGGAUGAUCAGGCACAAUGGAACUGAGACACGGUCCAGAAGCCUACGGGAGGCAGCAGUGGGGAAUAUUGGACAAUGGGCGAAAGCCUGAUCCAGCCAUGCCGCGGUUGUGAAGAAGGUCUUCGGAUUGUAAAGCACUUUAAGUUGGGAGGCGUUACCAACAGAAUAAGCACCGGCGAACUUCGGGCCAGGAGCCGGGGUAAUUC